AAUUACUUCCGCUGGGUCACAGCAGCUUUCUGCGACGCUCGGGAGAUCCGUACCUGGUGAGGCGAGGACGCAGAGUGCGUCGCUCACUUCCGUCUGGAGGUAGUGCGUAGCGCCCUACUCUCUUCCCCUAUAGUAGGCCAGCCUAUGAACGACACCGGCAAAUUUCGACCAAUCCGAGUCUAGCUCUUCUGGAUUCCCAGCAUGCAGCGCAGACCCUGAUCCAAUUACUGUAAAGACGCAUCCUUAGAGAGGCUCUCGGGAGUCCGAGACAGCAGUGCAUUCUGGGAUUUGUAGUUUCUCUGGUGGAUACCGUCGGCCUUGGGACCGAGGCAGCCCUGCAUCCUGGGACUUGUAGUUUCUCGCACUGCGUGUGAAGAUUUUGGUGGUUUUAGAGACUGUCCCUGCCUCUCAUUUAGGGCAAGGCAGUUUACUUCUAUAGAAGACUGCGCCCUCACAGAUGGAGCAAUGCUGUGAGGAGGACGCUCUGCAGAUUCACUGCUCACUGGCUUCCUCCCCCG